AAUAGAUACCCAGGUAGUCCUAGCCGUAAACGAUGAGCACUGGGUUGAAGGGUCCUCCAUAGCCUUUCAGCCGUAGCGAAAGUGUUAAGUGCUCCGCCUGGGGAGUAUGGUCGCAAGGCUGAAACUCAAAGAAAUUGACGGGGGCUCACACAAGCGGUGGAGGAUGUGGCUUAAUUCGAGGCUACGCGAAGAACCUUAUCCUAGUCUUGACAUGCACGGAUUAACUCCCUGAAAGGGGAGCCACGCCUUCGGGUGGAACGUGCACAGGUGCUGCAUGGCUGUCGUCAGCUCGUGCUGUGAAGUGUCGGGUUAAGUCCCUUAACGAGCGAACCCUUGUCGCUAGUUGCCAGCGAGUCAUGUCGGGGACUCUAGCGAGACCGCCGGUGUUAAACCGGAGGAAGGUGGGGAUGACGUCAAGUCCUCAUGGCCUUUAUGACUAGGGCUGCACACGUCCUACAAUGGCAUGCACAAAGGGACGCAAAGUCGCGAGACCAAGCAAAUCCCAAAAAACACUGCCCCAGUUCGGAUUGC
rnacentral:rRNA from 1 species